CGCCAAACGUUGCUGUUUAGUGCAACAAUGCCAGUAGAAAUUGAAGCCCUUGCGCAGAAGUACCUUAGUGACCCAGUGCAAGUGAAGGUUGGAAAGGUUCAGGAGAGUGAGAAGGUUAAUAUGGAGGACUUGCAUUAAAUUAUGAUUCAGAUUAUACCAUGGGAAAACAUGAGAAGGAGACAAAAUGGAUGCCUGGGUUGCCAAAACAGCCAAAUGGAUGAAUGAUAAUUAGGUCGAUGUAAUAGUGAGUUAUUCAGACGAACAUAUUUAUUUGUUGUGGAUGAUAUUUUGUGUUCUCUUAAUUGUAUUCUUCCGGCUUUAUUUUGCUAAAAAACAAAUUAUCUGGAAACACUGCAAGUUUACUGUCUCUGUACAUAGUGGGAAGAGUCAUUUUGCUUUCCUGUGUUAUGAAGGUUUUGCUCAAACAUCUGGGAAACAAUUUUUAUCUGUAAAUGCUCUACAUAUUUGGCAA